UUCCAUCUGGAAGAAUCUGGAGACAGGUGCUGCAUGGCUGUCGUCAGCUCGUGUCGCGAGAUGUUGGGUUAAGUCCCGCAACGAGCGCAACCCUUGCCUUUAGUUGCCAGCAGUUCGGCUGGGCACUCUAAAGGGACUGCCGGUGUUAAACCGGAGGGAGGUGGGGAUGACGUCAAGUCCUCAUGGCCUUUAUGACCAGGGCUACACACGUACUACAAUGGCCGAUACAAAGGGCAGCGACACUGCGAGGUGAAGCCAAUCCCGUAAAAUCGGUCUCAGUCCGGAUUGGAGUCUGCAACUCGACUCCAUGAAGUUGGAAUCGCUAGUAAUCGUGGAUCAGCAUGCCACGGUGAAUACGUUCCCGGGCCUU
rnacentral:rRNA from 1 species